AGGGCGCAAGGAGAAUGCCUUGGCACUGGGAGCCGAUGAAAGACGUGAUAAGCUGCGAUAAGCCUUGGGGAGGAGCAAAUAUCCAUUGAUCCAGGGAUUUCUGAAUGAGGAAACUCACCGAAGCUCAUACUUCGGUACUGCACACUGAAUCCAUAGGUGUGUGGGGGGAACCGCCUGAACUGAAACAUCUAAGUAGGGCGAGGAAGAGACAUCAAACGAGAUUCCGUUAGUAGUGGCGAGCGAACGCGGAAGAGGGCAAACCGGAAGGAGAAAUCCUUCCGGGGUAUGGACCGCUUUAAGGACUUAAGUUGCUAGCUGAAUGGCAUGGGAAGGCCAUCCAAAGAGUGUGAGAGACACGUAAGCGAAAGUAACGAGAGCUGCGCGAGUUCCAGAGUACGGCCAGACACGUGAAACCUGGUCGGAAGAUGGGGGGACCACCCUCCAACCCUAAAUACUACCCAGUGACCGAUAGCGUAUAGUACUGUGAAGGAAAGGUGAAAAGGACCCCGGGAGGGGAGUGAAAUAGAACCUGAAACCCUGUGCUUACAAGCACCGAGAGCCCGUCAAUGGGUGAUCGGGUACUUUUUGUAGAACGGUCCGGCGAGUAUAUGGAACAAGCAAGGUUAAGGUCUUCAGGACUGAAGCCGAAGGGAAACCAAGUCUUAAUAGGGCGCACAGUUUGUUUCAUAUGACCCGAAACCGGGUGACCUAUCCAUGUCCAGGUUGAAGUGGCGGUAAAACGCCAUGGAGGACCGAACCAACCCCCGUUGAAAAGGUGGUGGAUGAGGUGUGGAUAGCGGAGAAAUUCCAAUCGAACUCGGAUAUAGCUGGUUCUCCCCGAAAUAGCUUUAGGGCUAGCCUCGGAUUAGUUUAGCGGAGGUAAAGCACUGAAUGGGCUAGGGGGCGUAUAGCUUACUGAACCCUAUCAAACUCAGAAUGCCGCAAAAAUGAUGUCCGGGAGUCAGACUACGGGAGAUAAGUUUCGUGGUCGAAAGGGAAACAGCCCAGACCCACAGCUAAGGUCCCAAAAUAGGUUUAAGUGGAAAAGGAUGUCUAGUUGCAGAGACAACUAGGACGUUGGCUUAGAAGCAGCCAUACAUUUAAAGAGUGCGUAAUAGCUCACUAGUCGAGAAAACCUGCGCCGAAAAUGUAACGGGGCUAAAACACGACACCGAAGCUACGGAUUCCUUACAAAGUAAGGAGUGGUAGAGGAGCAUCCUGCAAGGACGAAGCCAAAGUGAGAGCGAUGGUGGACGAAACAGGAGAGAGAAUGCCGGAAUGAGUAGCGAGAUACAUGUGAGAAACAUGUAGGCCGAAUAUCUAAGGAUUCCUGGGUAAAGCUAAUCUUCCCAGGGUUAGUCGGGGCCUAAGGCGAGGACGAAAGUCGUAGUCGAUGGAUAACAGGUUGAUAUUCCUGUACUACACAUAAUCAGAACUGUGGGGACGCAGGAGGAUAGGGAAACCGGGGAAUGGAAAGACCCGGUCAAGCGUAAAGCUGUGGGAGAUAGGCAAAUCCGUCUCCUGUAAGUGAAACGUGAUGAGGACUGAAAAAAAGUAAGGAAGUUUCCGAAUCCACACUGCCGAGAAAAGCCGCUAUUGCGUUAUGUGUACCCGUACCGUAAACCGACACAGGUAGAUGAGGAGAAAAUCCACAGGCCGACGGGAGAAGUGUUGUUAAGGAACUCGGCAAAAUGACCCCGUAACUUCGGGAUAAGGGGAGCCUCGCAAGAGGCCGCAGAAAAGAGGCACAAGCAACUGUUUAGCAAAAACAUAGGUCUAUGCGAAACCGUAAGGUGAAGUAUAUGGGCUGACGCCUGCCCGGUGCUGGAAGGUUAAAAGGAGAGGUCAGCGCAAGCGAAGCUUUGAAUUCAAGCCCCAGUAAACGGCGGCCGUAACUAUAACGGUCCUAAGGUAGCGAAAUUCCUUGUCAGGUAAGUUCUGACCCGCACGAAAGGCGUAAUGAUUUGAGCACUGUCUCGACAACACGCCCGGUGAAAUUGAAGAACCAGUGAAGAUACUGGUUACCCGCAACAGGACGGAAAGACCCCAUGGAGCUUUACUGCAGCCUGAUACUGGGAUUCGAUGAUAUAUGUACAGGAUAGGUGGGAGGCUAAGAAGCGAGAACGCUAGUUUUCGUGGAGCCGCCGGUGGGAUACCACUCUUAUGUCAUUGAAUUUCUAACCUGCAUCCGUAAUCCGGAUGAGGGACAAUGUCAGGCGGGCAGUUUGACUGGGGCGGUCGCCUCCUAAAAGGUAACGGAGGCGCUCGAAGGUCACCUCAGAAUGAUUGGAAACCAUUCAAAGAGUGUAAAGGCAAAAGGUGGCUUGACUGCGAGAGCGACGGCUCGAGCAGGUACGAAAGUAGGACUUAGUGAUCCGGUGGUAAUAAGUGGGAAUGCCAUCGCUCAACGGAUAAAAGCUACCCUGGGGAUAACAGGCUUAUCACUCCCA
rnacentral:rRNA from 1 species